rnacentral:tRNA from 1 species
GGUUGUGGCUCAGUGGUAGAGUGUUCGCCUAGCAUGUACAAGGUCCUAGGUUCGAUCCUCAGCACCA